rnacentral:rRNA from 1 species
GGGUUGUGAGGUUAAGCGACUAAGCGUACACGGUGGAUGCCCUGGCAGUCAGAGGCGAUGAAGGGCGUGCUAAUCUGCGAUAAGCGCCGGUAAGGUGAUAUGAACCGUUAUAACCGGCGAUACCCGAAUGGGGAAACCCAGUGUGAUUCGUCACACUAUCAUUAACUGAAUCCAUAGGUUAAUGAGGCGAACCGGGGGAACUGAAACAUCUAAGUACCCCGAGGAAAAGAAAUCAACCGAGAUUCCCCCAGUAGCGGCGAGCGAACGGGGAGGAGCCCAGAGCCUGAAUCAGCAUGUGUGUUAGUGGAAGCGUCUGGAAAGGCGCGCGAUACAGGGUGACAGCCCCGUACACAAAAGCGCAUGUGCUGUGAGCUCGAUGAGUAGGGCGGGACACGUGGUAUCCUGUCUGAAUAUGGGGGGACCAUCCUCCAAGGCUAAAUACUCCUGACUGACCGAUAGUGAACCAGUACCGUGAGGGAAAGGCGAAAAGAACCCCGGCGAGGGGAGUGAAAAAGAACCUGAAACCGUGUACGUACAAGCAGUGGGAGCNNNNNNNNNNNNNNNNNNNNNNNNNNNNNNNNNNNNNNNNNNNNNNNNNNNNNNNNNNNNNNNNGGGCGUUAAGUUGCAGGGUAUAGACCCGAAACCCGGUGAUCUAGCCAUGGGCAGGUUGAAGGUUGGGUAACACUAACUGGAGGACCGAACCGACUAAUGUUGAAAAAUUAGCGGAUGACCUGUGGCUGGGGGUGAAAGGCCAAUCAAACCGGGAGAUAGCUGGUUCUCCCCGAAAGCUAUUUAGGUAGCGCCUCGUGAAUUCAUCUCCGGGGGUAGAGCACUGUUUCGGCUAGGGGGCCAUCCCGGCUUACCAACCCGAUGCAAACUGCGAAUACCGGAGAAUGUUAUCACGGGAGACACACGGCGGGUGCUAACGUCCGUCGUGAAGAGGGAAACAACCCAGACCGCCAGCUAAGGUCCCAAAGUCAUGGUUAAGUGGGAAACGAUGUGGGAAGGCCCAGACAGCCAGGAUGUUGGCUUAGAAGCAGCCAUCAUUUAAAGAAAGCGUAAUAGCUCACUGGUCGAGUCGGCCUGCGCGGAAGAUGUAACGGGGCUAAACCAUGCACCGAAGCUGCGGCAGCGACACUGUGUGUUGUUGGGUAGGGGAGCGUUCUGUAAGCCUGCGAAGGUGGCCUGUGAGGGUUGCUGGAGGUAUCAGAAGUGCGAAUGCUGACAUAAGUAACGAUAAAGCGGGUGAAAAGCCCGCUCGCCGGAAGACCAAGGGUUCCUGUCCAACGUUAAUCGGGGCAGGGUGAGUCGACCCCUAAGGCGAGGCCGAAAGGCGUAGUCGAUGGGAAACGGGUUAAUAUUCCCGUACUUGGUGUUACUGCGAAGGGGGGACGGAGAAGGCUAUGUUGGCCGGGCGACGGUUGUCCCGGUUUAAGCGUGUAGGUGUGUGUUCCAGGUAAAUCCGGUUCACUUUAACACUGAGGCGUGACGACGAGGCACUACGGUGCUGAAGCAACAAAUGCCCUGCUUCCAGGAAAAGCCUCUAAGCAUCAGGUAACAUCAAAUCGUACCCCAAACCGACACAGGUGGUCAGGUAGAGAAUACCAAGGCGCUUGAGAGAACUCGGGUGAAGGAACUAGGCAAAAUGGUGCCGUAACUUCGGGAGAAGGCACGCUGACACGUAGGUGAAGUGAUUUACUCAUGGAGCUGAAGUCAGUCGAAGAUACCAGCUGGCUGCAACUGUUUAUUAAAAACACAGCACUGUGCAAACACGAAAGUGGACGUAUACGGUGUGACGCCUGCCCGGUGCCGGAAGGUUAAUUGAUGGGGUCAGCGCAAGCGAAGCUCCUGAUCGAAGCCCCGGUAAACGGCGGCCGUAACUAUAACGGUCCUAAGGUAGCGAAAUUCCUUGUCGGGUAAGUUCCGACCUGCACGAAUGGCGUAAUGAUGGCCAGGCUGUCUCCACCCGAGACUCAGUGAAAUUGAACUCGCUGUGAAGAUGCAGUGUACCCGCGGCAAGACGGAAAGACCCCGUGAACCUUUACUAUAGCUUGACACUGAACAUUGAGCCUUGAUGUGUAGGAUAGGUGGGAGGCUUUGAAGUGUGGACGCCAGUCUGCAUGGAGCCGACCUUGAAAUACCACCCUUUAAUGUUUGAUGUUCUAACGUGGACCCGUUACCCGGGUUGCGGACAGUGUCUGGUGGGUAGUUUGACUGGGGCGGUCUCCUCCUAAAGAGUAACGGAGGAGCACGAAGGUUGGCUAAUCCUGGUCGGACAUCAGGAGGUUAGUGCAAUGGCAUAAGCCAGCUUGACUGCGAGCGUGACGGCGCGAGCAGGUGCGAAAGCAGGUCAUAGUGAUCCGGUGGUUCUGAAUGGAAGGGCCAUCGCUCAACGGAUAAAAGGUACUCCGGGGAUAACAGGCUGAUACCGCCCAAGAGUUCAUAUCGACGGCGGUGUUUGGCACCUCGAUGUCGGCUCAUCACAUCCUGGGGCUGAAGUAGGUCCCAAGGGUAUGGCUGUUCGCCAUUUAAAGUGGUACGCGAGCUGGGUUUAGAACGUCGUGAGACAGUUCGGUCCCUAUCUGCCGUGGGCGCUGGAGAACUGAGGGGGGCUGCUCCUAGUACGAGAGGACCGGAGUGGACGCAUCACUGGUGUUCGGGUUGUCAUGCCAAUGGCACUGCCCGGUAGCUAAAUGCGGAAGAGAUAAGUGCUGAAAGCAUCUAAGCACGAAACUUGCCCCGAGAUGAGUUCUCCCUGAGACUUAGAGUCUCCUGAAGGAACGUUGAAGACGACGACGUUGAUAGGCCGGGUGUGUAAGCGCAGCGAUGCGUUGAGCUAACCGGUACUAAUGAACCGUGAGGCUUAACCUUACAACGCCGAAG